GCUAAAUGGUAAUUUUUGACACAUGUCAAUCUCACAUACAAUCUGCACAAAUCCUAGCUGGAAAAUUUUGAAAAAAUUUGCUUCUUUUGGCCAUGAAUUUGAAUUUUCUUUCCCUUCCAUUCAUCUCAUCGCUUACUGGGCCAUAAACAAGAGUCCAGUCCAUUAAGGCCCAAACAAGCCCGGUCCGGUUUGGUUGAAAACAAUAAAAAAAUCGAAAAAGACAAAAUAGGACAGUGGAAGAUCAUGAGGCGUAGUUUUCAUACUUCUGCAAAGCAGAACUCCUCUUCUUCUUUUGGCUAACAAAUUUGAAACCAUUUUCACAACCAAAAAGUUUCAAUUACUUAUGGAUGCAACAAAGACAUUCAUUGAGCGUCCCUUUCAUGUAGAGCAGAUUUGCAGGCUAGAAUCCAAAAACCUGAGUCUGCAUACAUGUGGUUGAAUCAAUUUCAAAAUUCAAAUUCUUCCUCUCUUCUCUUCAAUAUCAUAACUCACUUUCUUUAUCAUGGGUUUCAAAUCUUCUCUCAUCAGCUCUCUUAUCCUUCACCACGUUUCCUGCCGUCACUUUCUUUUUUCAUUAUCGAAGAACAUCAAAAGGCAUCCUCCGGUGGCUUCUUCAGCAUCUUCAAAUGGAAAGGUCCCCAAUUUUCUUCAAUCUACUUCAAAUCCCUAAUUUUCUAAUCCCUGUCUUUAUUUUAUUUUUUCAAGUUCUCUCAUCAAAUGGAAAUUUUUUCAUUCUGAAACCCGAAUCGCAUUAUCCCUAAAGCGUAGGUAUCACGCACCAUGAAGGCGGCGGCAACCUCAAACUUAGAAGUUUACAAAUUAGGGUAGUUUUAUUGCAGAAUUAAUCAGAGAGAAUACUAUGCAUAUAGCAACACUAUGCCUCUUGAUUGUAAUUUUAUUUUCAAGUGAAAUUAUUUGAGUUGGUUGUGCUUUACGGUAGUGUACAUCUUCAGGGUUCACAAACCCAACGACGACAAAGAUCGAUGAAGCAGAGCACACGGCCCAACGACGACAAUGUUAUUGUUUGAUUCUGGGAAACUUGGCAGCUGCAUUGGUAGAAAUUUGCUCGAGGUCCUAAUUUUGAGGGAUUGCGUAAGAUGGAAGUGUCUAAUGCUUUCACUUUGUUCAUUAUUUUAAUACAUAAGCUUAAAAAAGUUAUAUCAAAGAAGUGUGUGUACUCUCCACUAAUCUGUUUAUGGUAUAGUUUUUAAUCAAGUUGCCGAUGUCUUAAUUUGUAAAUGAGGAUUUGGUAAUGAUUUUGGUGGUUCUUAAAUGGGUAACACAUGGCACACCUUCAAGUUCAAGCUGCCAGAGGCACCAAAUUCAAAGUGGAGACUUCCAUAUUUGAUUUAUGGGAUCAAAUAUUUUCAAUUCUAUUUUUUUUAAAUAUGGUAUAGUGAACAGUGUAAUGCAAUGCAAUGGGGGGUACAAAAUAGAUGAUUAUUUCAUAGGCGAAGGUUUAUAAAGGAAGAUCCUGCCAAUAUUCCAAAGAGGCAUAUUAGAUUUUUUAGUUACUUCAAAGUCUCCAUAAUUUAAGAACUCUUGCUUCAAUAGUUUAUGUGUGUACUCUUUGAUUUCACAAUGUUGUAUUGCGAGGUUCAACAAUUGUUGAUGUCUUUCAAGAUCUAUUGGUUAAAGUGUAUACACGCUGAAGGGAAACAUGGGAGUAGCUUUCAAUAUCAAGCUUGGAAUUUAUUAUUUAGUUCAUCUCGACGGGACUGCGACCUUAAAGAGUGAUUUUAGCAUGAGAUUAAAUAGGUCAGGACUUUAUAUCCAAUACCAAGUAAUUAGUGCACAUAAUGUGCCAUAUACAAGCAGAAAAGCUCGACACGAGCUUGAUAUUGUACCAGUUCUCCAACUACAAGGAAACUCUAGAGUUUGUGGAAGAUUAGCUAAAGCCUGAGUGCAACUAGGAUAUACACAAUUUCUAUUGUAUAUUCAUGAUAUAGUUAUCUCAAUUUCUAUUGUAUCGCGUACUAUUAAAGUAUGUACACUGCAUUUUUUAUUUGUAUAUUGUCUCAACUUAUAUAUUAAUUAAAUAGAGAUUAAGCACA